CUGCGGAAGGAUCAUUACCGAAUUGUCAAACGGGUUGUUGCUGGUCUUCAAACGGGGACAUGUGCACGCUCUGUUUACACAUCCACUCACACCUGUGCACCCUCCGUAGUUCUAUGGUCUGGGGGACCCUGUCUUCCUGCCGUGGUUCUACGUCUUUACACACACUCUGUAAUAAAGUCUUAUGGAAUGUAUGCCGCGUCUAACGCAAUACAAUACAACUUUCAGCAACGGAUCUCUUGGCUCUCGCAUCGAUGAAGAACGCAGCGAAAUGCGAUAAGUAAUGUGAAUUGCAGAAUUCAGUGAAUCAUCGAAUCUUUGAACGCACCUUGCGCCCCUUGGCUAUUCCGAGGGGCAUGCCUGUUUGAGUAUCAUGAACACCUCAACUCUCAUGGUUYGCCAUGAUGAGCUUGGACUCUGGGGGUUUUGCUGGCCUGYGGUCGGCUCCCCUCAAAUGAAUCAGCCUCCCAGUGUUUGGUGGCAUCACGGGUGUGAUAAAUAUCUACGCUCGCGGUUGUCUGCCAGGUAACCUUUGGUGACAAAGGUUCGCUGGAGCUCACAGAUGUCUCUCCUCGGCGAGGACAGCUUUUUUGAACGUUCGAUCUCAAAUCAGGUAG
rnacentral:rRNA from 1 species